rnacentral:rRNA from 1 species
GAUCCUGGCUCAGGAUGAACGCUAGCUACAGGCUUAACACAUGCAAGUCGAGGGGCAGCAUCAUCAAAGCUUGCUUUGAUGGAUGGCGACCGGCGCACGGGUGAGUAACACGUAUCCAACCUGCCGACAACACUGGGAUAGCCUUUCGAAAGAAAGAUUAAUACCGGAUGGCAUAGUCUUCCCGCAUGGGAUGAUUAUUAAAGAAAUUCGGUUGUCGAUGGGGAUGCGUU